ACGUAGGUGGCAAGCGUUGUCCGGAAUUAUUGGGCGUAAAGAGCGCGUAGGCGGUAUGGUAAGUCUGUCUUAGAAGUGCGGGGCUUAACCCCGUGAGGGGACAGAGACUGUCAUACUGGAGUCUCGGAGAGGAAAGCGGAAUUCCUAGUGUAGCGGUGAAAUGCGUAGAGAUUAGGAAGAACACCGGUGGCGAAGGCGGCUUUCUGGACGAGCACUGACGCUGAGGCGCGAAAGCGUGGGGAGCGAACAG
rnacentral:rRNA from 1 species